AACGGGCUUAUGGGUAGCAUUAUAUUUUCCGUCGAAAGAGUUGAGUUGAGAGCUUUACGACAUAUUUUUUUUCCACAGGAAUAAAAACAUGAAAGACUUUGUGCUGAUAUUUGCCAUACUUUUGUGCUUUGUGGGAGGAUGUCUUUGUGGCCCAUUAAAUUCGGAGGAUAGCAAUCUUCCCGUGCAGAGGAGACCUAGAAUUCUCGGGUGGGGGUGGGGUGGUUGGCACUAUCCGUACUAUUACAGCGGUUACUACGAUGGGACAUUUCCCUAUUAUGGUCACUACUGGAAUUUGGGGUGAUUUUGGCAUCCCUAACUCACAAACCAAAUAAGUAUACUUUCCCCUCAUGAAUUAAAUUUUGUUACAGAAAAUAAAAAAUCUCAUUCCGGUU